UGUUUAUUUGGCGAACAUCAAGUCGGUCACUAUAUAGGUUGUCCAGUGUUCAUUCGCUACAGGCCGUGUGCAGUUGCAAGAAAAAUAUGGUAUUCACAAAUGCGGUAAUGACAUUGCUGGUUAUCUAUAUAAUUCUGUUGACUGCUGGAAGCAUUCAGGCCCACGACGCCAAAAUUAAUGAUGUAUAUGAUUUGAACAAACAGGUCAAGAAAGAUGGUCGAAAAAAAAGUCCGAAUAAAAGAAAGUUGGACGAUAGAAAUAUUCGCCCUGAUCCCACAUGCGUAUGGAAAUUUUGCAAGAGUACUGGCCAAAUUCUCUGCGUGCUGGACCCUAGCGCAGAUUGUUAACUUUGAAUUUUCAUGCCGCUGCCUGCAUGCAAGUUGAUGUUACAAUCCGUAGCUGAUUGAUUGAUAUUUGAUACCU